UACGUAGGGGGCAAGCGUUGUCCGGAUUUAUUGGGCGUAAAGAGCGCGCAGGCGGCUUGGUAAGUCGGAUGUGAAAUCCCGAGGCUCAACCUCGGGUCUGCAUCCGAUACUGCCCGGCUAGAGGUAGGUAGGGGAGAUCGGAAUUCCUGGUGUAGCGGUGAAAUGCGCAGAUAUCAGGAAGAACACCAAUGGCGAAAGCAGCUCUCUGGGACGGUACUGACGCUGAGACGCGAAAGCGUGGGGAGCGAACAGG
rnacentral:rRNA from 1 species